UUCGGGAUCACAUCAGUAUAAGUAGACACAAGGAGAAUUACCUGGAAUGGUAAGCCAAAGAGGGUGAAAGCCCCGUACCUGUAAAAAUGCUACUUGUCGUGAUUUCCAGAGUACGGCGGGACACGUGAAAUCCUGUCGGAAUGUGCGGAGACCACUCCGUAAGGCUAAAUACUCUUCGGUGACCGAUAGUGAACCAGUACCGUGAGGGAAAGGUGAAAAGAACCCCGGGAGGGGAGUGAAAAGAAUCUGAAACUGUAUGCUUACAAGAUGUCAGAGACCGUUAAAGGUUGAUGACGUGCCUAUUGAAGAAUGAGCCGGCGAGUUAUGUAUACAUGCGAGGUUAAGGAGAAGAUCCGGAGCCGUAGCGAAAGCGAGUCUGAAUAGGGCGUUCAGUAUGUGUAUGUAGACCCGAAACCCGACGAUCUAGCCAUGAUCAAGAUGAAGUAAGGGUCAAACCUUAUGGAGGUCUGAACCGACGUUCGUUGAAACGACCGCGGAUGAAUUGUGGCUCGUGGUGAAAUUCCAAUCGAGUCGGGUAAUAGCUGGUUCUCCUCGAAAUAGCUUUAGGGCUAGCCUCAGAACACUACAUUUUGGAGGUAGAGCACUGAAUGAAAGCGAGCCGCGCCAAGCGGUAUCAAUUUCAAUCAAACUCCGAAUUCCGAGAUGCUUAUUCUGGGAGUCAGACUGUGGGAGAUAAGUUUCAUGGUCAAAAGGGCAACAGCCCGGACCGCCAACUAAGGUCCCUAAAUUCGCGCUAAGUGUUAAAGGAUGUAGAGAUACUUAAACAGCUAGGAUGUUGGCUCAGAGGCAGCCAUCAUUUAAAGAAUGCGUAACAGCUCACUAGUCAAGUGUCUCCGCGCCGAAAAUUUACCGGGGCUAAGCGCGAUACCGAAGUUGCGGAUAUUUCUAAAGAAAUGUGGUAGGGGAGCGUUCCAUUAGCAUAGAAGCCAUACCGGAAGGAGUGGUGGAGCGAAUGGAAGUGAGAAUGCCGGCGUAAGUAACGAUAAGAGGUGAGAAUCCUCUUCACCAUUUGACUAAGGUUUCCUGGGCUAGGUUCGUCCACCCAGGGUCAGUCGGGACCUAAGACGAGGCCGAAAGGCGUAGCCGAUGGACAGCAGGUUAAUAUUCCUGAACCCGGUUGUGUGCGAUCGCAGUGACGAAAGCGGUUAGGUUUACCCACGAAUGGAAGUGUGGGGAGAUAGUGAUAAGCUGUCGGCUAGAAUCCGACACCAAGUGAAACACCGAAGUACGAAAGGGGUGACCUGAGUAGGAAGUAGCUGAUACCGAUUUCCAAGAAAAGCUGCUAGCUUAAGCACAAUCGGCCCGUACCGAGAACGGACACACGUGGUCAAGGAGAGUAUCCUAAGGUGAGCGAGAUAACUGUUGUUAAGGAACUCUGCAAAAUUACUUCGUAAGUUAGCGAGAAGAAGUGCUCCGUAAAAGGAGCCGCAGUGAAGAGGCCCAAGUAACUGUUUACCAAAAACACAGCUCUAUGCUAAGUCGUAAGACGAUGUAUAUGGGGUGAAGCCUGCCCGGUGCCGGAAGGUUAAUAGGAGAGGUGAAAGCUUUGAAUUGAAGCCCCGGUGAACGGCGGCCGUAACUAUAACGGUCCUAAGGUAGCGAAAUUCCUUGUCAGGU
rnacentral:rRNA from 1 species